rnacentral:rRNA from 1 species
UACAGAGGGGGCUAGCGUUGCUCGGAAUCACUGGGCGUAAAGGGUGCGUAGGCGGGUCUUAAGUCAGGGGUGAAAUCCUGGAGCUCAACUCCAGAACUGCCUUUGAUACUGAGGAUCUUGAGUUCGGGAGAGGUGAGUGGAACUGCGAGUGUAGAGGUGAAAUUCGUAGAUAUUCGCAAGAACACCCGUGGCGAAGGCGGCUCUCUGGGACGGUACUGACGCUGAGACGCGAAAGCGUGGGGAGCGAACGAGGAUUAGAAACCCCCU